AUACUUUUACAUUUAUUGCAAUGUGAUUUUGUUUUAUAGAUUUUUUUGAUUGUGUUUUGAAUAUUAAACAUAGCAGGAACAAUGAGCGCACCUAAUCCUGAGUUUCCUGGAGCCAAGUACGCAGAUAGAUACCGAAAAUGUGGGAUUGCUCAGAUUGUGUUUGGGAUAAUCAGCAUUGUGGGUGAGAUGGGUUUCGUGAUCUAUAUCCUGGCAGCAUUAGGUGCUUCAACUGGAGGGGUUUAUAUGGGGAUGUGGGCAGGCGCUCUGUACUGUGUUGCCGGUGUACUUGGCAUACAUGCUGGGAAAGGCCCAACAAGGCGUUUGGUUAUUGCAGGAAUGGUGGUUUCAAUUGUAUCCUGCAUACUUGCCUUUGUGAUUAUGUGCACUGGAAUCUCAGCAAUGAUUGGCUUAACAUUAAACGUAUUACCGCUGAUCAUGAUAUUCCGGCUAAUUGUAGCAAUUGCUGGACUUGGGGAGUUCAUAACUUCCAUUGUGUUCAGUGCAUUCUGCUGUGGUGCGGUGUGCUGUGGGAAGAAGGAUUAUGCGGCAGUACCAGCUAAUACUGUUGUUCUGACAACUGUCCCUGCUAAUCAACCAAUUGUUGGCUACCAACCCCAAACAGGCUACCCACCCCAAUCCCAAGUAAAAGCCUGAAGGAGAGAUUCCCCCAGAGUAUAAAUUGGCAAGUUGAAACAUAAAUAUAAAUAUUGUUCAAGAAUAAAAGACUUCUACUACAAUAACACGUCAUGACCACAUUCAACCACUAUUUGCAUGUAGUAUAGAAAACAACUAACUAUGAAAGCGUAUUACAACGAACUAACUCACUAUUAUACAUGGAGUUUCAAAUCACUAAAAGACUACUGUAAUAAUUUUGUUAAAAUAGCAUGAAUGUAGAAUGCAUGGUCCUGUAGAGCUUUUGUUAUUCAGUGCAGACAAGUGUUUUGAAAUUAUGAAGCCUUUAUCUGUUUGUGGCAGAAUCAUUUUACUAACCACACUUUAGUUAUACACAUCAGUAAUUAUAUAAUCUUGGAAGAAUUAGAUUGUGACCAUAUUUUAAGCACAAAACAAACAAAAGCACAUUGCCAUGCAAAAACGAAAUCUGCUUGAUUUUUUUUAUUAUAACCAUGUUUAGUGUUUAUCAUGUUGUGUAGCAUUGGCGUAUGGUACUGCCAUAUUUUUCUGCGGUUCAGUUUUGUUAAAAUUACUGAAUCAACAUUGUUUUUGUUUUUAAACAUUAAGUUGGUAUACAUUUUGUCUAGAUUACACUCUUACCUUUGGUGCUCGUUACUGUAACCUAAUAUUUCAAAGUCUUACCACGAUACAUACACCUGUAUUUUGUUUACUGAAUGUAGUUAUUAAACUGACUACGAUACAUAUACAUGUAUUUUGUUUACUGAAUUGUGGUUACUAAACUGCCGCAUUUGCCUUUUUACACUUUGUUUUACUGGUGCAUGCUUAUUGUGUUCGUGUGUUUAUGGUGCUAUGGAAUGAACAGAACAGUUUCAAUAAAACAACCCAGUCACCAG